GGUAACUGCUAAAGCUGCUAUUCUCAUUAAAUUCUUGUUCAGAUUUCACUAUGUCCUUCUCUGGAUGUCCAUUCAGAGCACUGAGUUCUUUGGUCUGAUUAUCUAUUAGAUGAAACAGUUUUUCCUUCCAUCAGCUCUGUGUUUGCUGUUUUUCAUGUCAUUGAUUGCUCGUGUGCUCUGAGAUGGGAAGGACAGGACCUCCUGAUCUGCCUUCUCUGUUCUUCCUGACCUGCUGUGCUUCAAGUUUGUUCUUUCUCUUCUGUUGUUUGUCUUCCUGAGCUGGAAAAAAAAAGCAAGCAGCAGAAAAUGCAAGAGGGGGAAGAUCACUGCUGUUUACAAGAAGAGCUAAAGCCUGUCUAACAUCAGCCACAGAGGGGUUUCCUGUGUAACUGAGCAAGGAGCUGCUGAUAAAACCAGAAUCCACGGAGCAACACUGGAUAUUUAUGGAGAAGGGCUGGCCCUUGGCUCCAUUGUUUGUAGCACAAUGCUUUACAUUCAACAAGGAAGGCACAAACCAGUUACAGUUCAGCUAAUCUUACUGAUCUUGUUUUAAUUAAUCCCUUUCAAUGGGAGUUCAUUUCUAUUGGCACAAUCAGCCUGGCAAAGGCAGAUACUCCUGCAGGAAGAAAUCACCCCAGAAAAAUCACUCUUGAGAUCAAGCCUGGGAGACAUGAGACAAACAAGCAAACCAGAUAUACAGAGAUAACAAAAUAGGAAAUUGAAGAACAGUUUAUGCUGCUGUCUCUCCUAAGUUGACUGAGUUGUUUUGCAUGUGUGACUAAUGUUGCAGAGGCAGCUGGUGCUGCCAACAAGAGCCAGCAUCUCAUCAGGACUGAUGCAGCACCAGCCUGGCUCUGCACAUGCUGGAAAACAGCAGGAGAUGGAGAUGGCUGCUGGGAGCCUCUGAAGUGACCACAGAGGCUGGGUGCUUCCAGCUCUGUUCUUUCCAGUGAGCCUCCUUUGGGCUGUACCUCCUGCCUGGAGCUGCUCCUGGGACUGUGUUCUCUGAUCAACUCCCACUGGGCAGAUAAGGAAUGCAGAAAGCCUCUUACAGAUGAUAUUGGCCACAGAAAUGCUGAAAAGAAGAUCCUAUUUUCUGCUUUCUAGCUUAAGAGAGGAGAAUGAUAUUUUCUUUCCUUGAAACAAGAUUUUUUAUGCUGAAAAAUGAAAGUCUCCUUUGAGUAAAGCAGUCUGCAGAUUCCUGAACAGGUAAAAACCCC